UACGGAGGGUGCAAGCGUUGCUCGGAAUUAUUGGGCGUAAAGGGCAUGUAGGUGGUCUCGUUUGUCUAGGGUGAAAGCCUUGAGCUUAACUCAAGAAGUGCCCUAGAAACGGCGAGACUAGAGUUCUGGAGAGGGUCGUGGAAUUCCCGGUGUAGCGGUGAAAUGCGUAGAGAUCGGGAGGAACACCAGAGGCGAAGGCGGCGACCUGGACAGAUACUGACACUCAACUGCGAAAGCGUGGGGAGCAAACAGG
rnacentral:rRNA from 1 species